rnacentral:lncRNA from 1 species
UGGCCUAUAGUUGAUCCUCCAGCCGAUCCAUCGAUGAUUGCCCUUAAUGCUGGUGUUAGCCCUUGAUAGAACUUCUGGACUAGGUCAUCUUUCGAGUACUUAUGGUGUGGAACUACAAAGACGUACUCAUUGAAUUCCUCAUGAGCUUCAGCAAUCAUCUCGGAAGCAUAUUGAGCAAAACUAGCUAUCCUGCUUCUGAUAUUCUGAGUCUAGCUGGCAAGUAAGGUUCAGUUAAGAAAGCCUUCAUCAACUCAUCCCAAUUCUAAAUCGUUGCCACCGGUAGAGAGUAAAACCAUUGAAGCGCUCAUCCAAGUAGAGAGUAAGUGAACAAUCUUACCCUUAGUUGAUUCUGAGUAACUCCAUCCGCGUCGAUGGUGUUGCAUAGCUGCGUAAAAGCUUGUAGAACAAGAUUAGCAUCUUCCUUGCCAGUGAAAGGUGAACUCUGCAAGAUCCUCAGUCUUGAAGUACCGAUCCUACACGGUCGGCCGACACAACCCAAUUCAUGGAUAGGUAAGUCAUUAAUGUUUAGAAUGCCGUAAAGUUUUUCUAGAUCAUCCACAAAAUUUUUCAAUUUAUUAGAGAUGUAGCCG